AUUGAACGCUGGCGGCAGGCCUAACACAUGCAAGUCGAACGGUAACAGAAAGCAGCUUGCUGCUUUGCUGACGAGUGGCGGACGGGUGAGUAAUGUCUGGGAAACUGCCUGAUGGAGGGGGAUAACUACUGGAAACGGUAGCUAAUACCGCAUAACGUCGCAAGACCAAAGAGGGGGACCUUCGGGCCUCUUGCCAUCGGAUGUGCCCAGAUGGGAUUAGCUAGUAGGUGGGGUAAAGGCUCACCUAGGCGACGAUCCCUAGCUGGUCUGAGGGGAUGACCAGCCACACUGGAACUGAGACACGGUCCAGACUCCUACGGGAGGCAGCAGUGGGGAAUAUUGCACAAUGGGCGCAAGCCUGAUGCAGCCAUGCCGCGUGUAUGAAGAAGGCCUUCGGGUUGUAAAGUACUUUCAGCGGGGAGGAAGGGAGUAAAGUUAAUACCUUUGCUCAUUGACGUUACCCGCAGAAGAAGCACCGGCUAACUCCGUG
rnacentral:rRNA from 1 species